GCGAGUUUGAAGCCGAAAACUUCCUUUGUUGGUGAUGGCAGACCGAAUGAAGAGAGAAAUGCAUAUAGAGCUACUGCCGGCGAAGGUUGCAGUUAUGGCUGUCGUCAGAACCAUAGUCGCUACUUGUGGAGAUGAAGAGGAUGGCAAGAUUGUGAGCCAGCUCAUUCCCCUCUCAAGGAAUUCAGAAUUUGAUCUGUUGAGGAAGGUUGCAUCCAUGUUUAAUUUGAGCCAGUUGGAAGGAGGUGCUCUCUGACAGGCUUUUCUUCCACCCCCACCUUUUUCAAUAUCCAGUCUAGUGAUCUGCUCUUUGAUCUACCCCAUUGUGAUGGUAAGCCUAAGUAUUUUCCCGG